rnacentral:rRNA from 1 species
AACGAGAAGUACGUAGCAAUACGUAUUGUAAAGUGGCGCACGGGUGAGUAACACGUGGGUAAUCUGCCCUUGAGUUUGGGAUAACCCCGCGAAAGCGGGGCUAAUACCGAAUAAGACCACGGGGACCAAAGUCCCUGAGGUAAAAGACGGCCUCUAUUUAUAAGCUGUCACUUGAGGAUGAGCCCGCGGCCCAUCAGCUAGUUGGCAGGGUAACGGCCUACCAAGGCGAUGAUGGGUAGCUGGUCUGAGAGGACGAUCAGCCACACUGGAACUGAGACACGGUCCAGACUUCUACGGGAGGCAGCAGUGGGGAAUAUUGCGCAAUGGGCGAAAGCCUGACGCAGCAACGCCGCGUGGGGGAUGAAGGUUCUCGGAUUGUAAACCCCUUUCGAUCGGAACGAAUCUCCUCUUGGUAAAUAAUCAGGAGGAUCGACGGUACCGGGAGAAGAAGCCACGGCUAACUCUGUGCCAGCAGCCGCGGUAAGACAGAGGUGGCGAGCGUUGUUCGGAUUUAUUGGGCGUAAAGCGAACGCAGGUGGUUUGGUAAGUCAGAGGUGAAAGACCACAGCUUAACUGUGGCACUGCCUUUGAUACUGCCUUUCUAGAGUGCAUGAGGGGGAAGCGGAAUUCCGAGUGUAGAGGUGAAAUUCGUAGAUAUUCGGAGGAACACCGGUGGCGAAGGCGGCUUCCUGGCAUGUAACUGACACUCAUGUUCGAAAGCGUGGGUAGCAAACAGGAUUAGAUACCCUGGUAGUCC